rnacentral:lncRNA from 7 species
ACAUGUGAGUGGAACUGCACUCAAUCUGUGUAUUAUGAAAUUGUCAUUCUCUGCCGCUCUUCAGCGUAAAUGGACUAAUCUGCAGUUUGAAAAUGAGGAGAGCUUGACUGUUAAAGAAUAGGUCAUUUGGCUUCUGGCAACAGAAGAAGAUGCUGUAAUAUUAGCUCUAAGAACUUGUGCAUUCUUGAGAGCCAAAAGGAGCUUUAUCUGUAUUUGCUAAAAAGGAGACCAGUAACGUGUUCUUCUAACACACCAGCAGCAGAAGAGAGGGCAAAUGUCCAGGCUGGGCUGUGUUCAGAACAUUGCUGUAAAAUGUUCGUUCUCUGAAGAGGAAUCACUGCAGGUUCCAGAUGUUUUGCUGCACCGAGGACAGUACCAGCAGACACAAAAAGCAGUGCUCUUCAUGGAAGACGUGGUUCCAUGGUUUCAAAAGCACCGCGUUCCUAAAGAAGGGCCAAGUUUUUCCAAAGGGCUGAACACCAGGCACUCCUGCUGAGACAGAUGGCUGAGUAUUUCAAAAGAUUGUGCCAUAAAAGCUGGCUGGAAAUUGUCUAUUCUCUUGUUUUUGACAGGAAUUUGGGUCUUCUAUUAAAAAUAAUAAUAGAGUAGAAUGGGCAGAUUUCCUUUCAGCCUUCUAUUUUUAUAUGGGAGUCUUAAUUCUUUUGGUCAGAGAAACUCUCACUCCUGUGAUACAUUACUUUGCAACUUGCUGUGCAAGGAGAGCCACGUGAUAGCAGCCCUGCAGAGAAGAGCUUGGAGGUCCCAUCCCUGGAAGUCUUCAAGGCCAGGUUGGAUGGGGCCCUGUGCAGCCUGACCUGGUGGGUGGUGUCCCUGCCUACCCUCAUGGCUGGUACCAUUCAGGGUCGGGAGCGCUCAGCCCUCUGCAAGUCAAACUGUGUUUGUAUGUAGUUGGGUACACAGAAAAUGGGUCAAGGAACUUGAGGCUGUUCCACAAAAAUAUGUGCAUUGAGGUUUCCAUGGUUUAACUCUCCCAUCUGUAAAGUGGAAGUAAUUCUUCAUCUGCAGCAAAGGACUUAUAAAUCUCAGUGUUUAUGCAUGCAGUUUUGGAGAAGCAGAAAUUUAAAAAAAAAAAAAUCCUUCUUUU